UGCCCUAGUAACGGCGAGUGAAGCGGCAACAGCUCAAAUUUGAAAGCUAGCCUUCGGGUUCGCAUUGUAAUUUGUAGAGGAUGAUUUGGGGAAGCCGCCUGUCUAAGUUCCUUGGAACAGGACGUCAUAGAGGGUGAGAAUCCCGUAUGUGACAGGAAAUGGCACCCUAUGUAAAUCUCCUUCGACGAGUCGAGUUGUUUGGGAAUGCAGCUCUAAAUGGGAGGUAAAUUUCUUCUAAAGCUAAAUAUUGGCGAGAGACCGAUAGCGCACAAGUAGAGUGAUCGAAAGAUGAAAAGCACUUUGGAAAGAGAGUUAAAAAGCACGUGAAAUUGUUGAAAGGGAAGCGCUUGCAAUCAGACUUGUUUAAACUGUUCGGCCGGUCUUCUGACCGGUUUACUCAGUUUGGACAGGCCAGCAUCAGUUUCGGCGGCCGGAUAAAGGCUCUGGGAAUGUGGCCUCCACUUCGGUGGAGGUGUUAUAGCCCAGGGUGUAAUACGGCCAGCCGGGACUGAGGUCCGCGCUUCGGCUAGGAUGCUGGCGUAAUGGUUGUAAGCGACCCGUCUUGAAACACGGACCAAGGAGUCUAACAUCUAUGCGAGUGUUCGGGUGUCAAACCCCUGCGCGUAAUGAAAGUGAACGGAGGUGGGAACCCGCAAGGGUGCACCAUCGACCGAUCCUGAUGUCUUCGGAUGGAUUUGAGUAAGAGCAUAGCUGUUGGGACCCGAAAGAUGGUGAACUAUGCCUGAAUAGGGUGAAGCCAGAGGAAACUCUGGUGGAGGCUCGCAGCGGUUCUGACGUGCAAAUCGAUCGUCAAAUUUGGGUAUAGGGGCGAAAGA
rnacentral:rRNA from 1 species